rnacentral:lncRNA from 1 species
UAACUCGAGAACCACAAAUCGCGCUCGCAGAACAAAGUAACAAUAAGAAAUAAUUAUUGUUAAUUUCAAGAAUAAUUAAUUGUCAAAACUUAUCCCCUCCCCGACAUCAAAGGAAGUUAAAUGUAUUGUUAUCCCAAAAUUAGACCAAAUUAUUAUGAUUUAUUAACCAAAUAAGUACAUUAUUGCCAAAAAUGACUAUUUUAAAAAUUACAUAUUUUCUGAAUGCCCUGUUUUCUGUAAUGGCCCUGUUUUUUCUGUAAUGGCCUGUUUUUUGUAAUGGUCCUGUUUAUUCCCAGUUCUGUAUUAAGCCAGUUAGGUUUUUUUUAAUAAAGUUAAUAAAAUAAGUUGUAAAGAGUAUAACACCUUUUGUAUUUUUUUAUUAGUAACACAGCAACUAACAUUAAAGAACCAUAUAAAGGGAUCACUGUUAUCCGUGUUUUUCAACAAAUAACUUCUUUCAACUUUAUUUGGAUAUUUGGUAUAUUUAAAGCUAUCAUGAUGAAGUACAAAUUAUUUUUUUUCAAACUACACUGUCAUUAAAAGAGUAAGAGAGUACAUCAAGUUGUAGUAACACAUUACUUUGUUCAGUUGGUUAAUAAAUGUAUUAAGAAUGGGUGUUUUUAUAAUGGCCUGUUUAUAUGUCCUCGUCAGUAAUAAUGGCCUCGGAUGUCUGAAAUGGCCCUCGGCGUUGCCUCGGGCCAUUACAGACUUCCUCUACCAUUAUUACAGACCUUGGACAUAUAACAGGGCCAUUAUAAAAACACCCAUUCAUUAAUACUAUAAUAAUGACGUCUUGACAGGCUAUUAUUUUAUUUUGUUUUGUUGGUUUUUUUCUUUGACGUCUUCCUCCUGUAUGAAAAAAACAUAAUAGACACCCCCCCUUUCCCCAUAAUAUAGCUUUUUUAAGAAGUCAUAAUUUUUGGACUACCCCUGAAUAUAUCAACAGACUCUUCUCUAAAAAAAUGUAAACUUGAUUGAGAGAAAUCUUUGGAAUAGUUUUUAAAUGAUUUUAAUUAUUGUCAUGUAUAUAAUUGACAUUAACAUAGUUAUAAACUGAGACUACUAAUAUAACACAUAGUGUUAUAGUAGUCUCAGCUUUAAACUUUCAUUGGUAUUGACCAAUAUGACUAACUCAUAGGCUCUUUCCCAUAAAUGUCACAAUAUCAAUAUAUUACAGUAAAACUGAUAGUUUUAUGACAUUGUUUAAGACUAUUGACCUCAGGUCAGCCUAAAAUUAAACCUAAGGCAUAAAAUACUUAGUGUGCAGAAAGUGCCACCAAAUAAAUACUGAUUUGUAAAAUUAGAUGAUGAUAUUUGCGAAGUCAAAGAUAUUAUAGCUAGUUAUAACUGGUUUUAGAUAUAAAUCUGAGUAAAAGGUUGAUUUAUAUGUGCUCUUUCAUGUUUAGAUUAUAAUUUAAAUUUAAUCUUUUGAAGUUUUUUAUAAAAUAUUAAGACAUUAAAAUCACAAUUAUUUAUUUAUACACAAAAAAAUAAAUUUUGUCCUUUUUUAGUUGAAUGACUGUACACAAACAUUAUACACAAAUAAUUUUGAUAAUUCUGUAAUGUUUUUUUUCUAUAGCCCCAGAAUGGUUAAAACAGUGACAAAAGACUUAUUAAUCCAGAUUUACAAAAAAUAGAAAUAGUUCAGCUACCAUAAGACUGCUACGACAAACAUUCUGCAGUUUCCAGAAUUUGAGGUAGAGUAUAGUUAGGAAUAGUUUGAAUAUGCAGAUGCUUAGUUUGCCAUAAACAAUUAUGCCCUUGAUACAAAAGCAGAGGAAAC